ACAGGAGCGCACAAGGAGGAAGAGAGUUUUAUUUUACAUUAAAGACAACAAACCCGAAGAAAACGGAAGAUACUUAUGUUUGGUUUUUGUAGCGGCUUUCGGCUGGAACGAAGUUUACCUUUUGUUUAAAGAUUCUAAAUAUAUUAUUUUGAGUUAGAACACAACCGCUUGUUGUCUUCAUUUAUGCACCCACGCCUCACAAGCUGAUCCCGACCUCUCAAGACAUCACACUGGCAAUCAUUGGAGACGAAUCAUCGUGUGUCAUCCUGAAGUCUUGAACAGGCUGUCAGGUCGAGGGACACUGGAAAUGUCAGCCAAGAGUAAUGAUAGCUCGGAGAUGAGUCACAGCACCCGAGCCUCAAUGGACACAAAGGUCACUGACUGUGUUCUGAACAGGAUACAUCCACCAAAACCUACAGACUUUUAAAACUUGACUCAACUAAGCUGGGAGGAAAGGAAAAAGCUCCAGAGGUACCCAGCUCUCGUCUGAGUCCAUGCCCAGCUGAGCAGCACUGAUUUGGGCCUGGAAGAGGCUUUUGUCCCUGGGGAUACAAUGAAGAAACUUCAUCUUCAUACAGUAUUUCACCUUCAGCCUGCCAUUAGCUCUCAGAUUCCCCAAAAUGCAUGCUUGUUCCCAAAACAUUCAAAUUCCAGAACAAACCUGCUCCAAGUUUAGCAACCUCCUCCAGAUCAGCAGACGUUGUGGCCGAGGAGAUGGCUUCUGGCAGCUUCAGAGUGAAGGGCAACACAUCCCUGAGAAAAGGAGAAGCGAUUCGAAUGAAAGGGAGAAAGGCUUGGUCAACAGAAAAAGGGAAAGAGGGCGGGACUGAACGCCUAUUCCAAAAUGUGUGUGAGUCACGGCGUUGGGAAAGGGUGUGUGGUGCAUCUUCAACCACAUAGCCGGAGGUAAUACGGGCCAGUUGCUCUCCUCCCCGUGGGUCUGUUACAGACUCGGUUCAACAAAAAACGAGCGAUCAAAGCUGGAAAUUGUACCUACAGAUUUGUGAAGGACAUCAUCUCUCAGUGAAACUUUGACACCGUUAACGUGAGAAAUGACACCCUGAGGCCCAAAAAGUGACAUGUACAUGAAAUGGAAUUUAGGGUACUUAAAAAACAAUGCAAAGUAUUUUGACCAAAUUAAUACAGAUAAUAGAGAUGAAUAGAGUGUGAGUCAUUAAAGCAUGCAACGCUGUGUUUUUGACCUCUGAAUUUGUGGGUCCAUGUUUUGUUUGUCUCAUGCACCACACCUAGAAAUAAAUAAUCAUCAU